AUACAGAGGGUGCAAGCGUUAAUCGGAUUCACUGGGCGUAAAGCGCGCGUAGGUGGCUAAUUAAGUCAAAUGUGAAAUCCCCGAGCUUAACUUGGGAAUUGCAUUCGAUACUGGUUAGCUAGAGUAUGGGAGAGGAUGGUAGAAUUCCAGGUGUAGCGGUGAAAUGCGUAGAGAUCUGGAGGAAUACCGAUGGCGAAGGCAGCCAUCUGGCCUAAUACUGACACUGAGGUGCGAAAGCAUGGGGAGCAAACAGGAUUAGAUACCCUGGUAGUCCAUGCCGUAAACGAUGUCUACUAGCCGUUGGGGCCCUUGAGGCUUUAGUGGCGCAGCUAACGCGAUAAGUAGACCGCCUGGGGAGUACGGUCGCAAGACUAAAACUCAAAUGAAUUGACGGGG
rnacentral:rRNA from 1 species